rnacentral:rRNA from 1 species
GUAGGUGGCAAGCGUUGUCCGGAAUUAUUGGGCGUAAAGCGCGCGCAGGCGGUUCUUUAAGUCUGAUGUGAAAGCCCACGGCUCAACCGUGGAGGGUCAUUGGAAACUGGAGAACUUGAGUACAGAAGAGGAAAGCGGAAUUCCACGUAUAGCGGUGAAAUGCGUAGAGAUGUGGAGGAACACCAGUGGCGAAGGCGGCUUUCUGGUCUGUAACUGACGCUGAGGCGCGAAAGCGUGGGGAGCAAACAGGGAUUAGAUACCCUGGUAGUCCACGCCGUAAACGAUGAGUGCUAAGUGUUAGGGGGUUUCCGCCCCCUUAGUGCUGCAGCUAACGCAUUAAGCACUCCGCCUGGGGAGUACGGCCGCAAGGCUG